GGUGAUAUUCCUCCCCUCCCUGGAAUUCAAAAAGGACAGGGUUGUCAAACUGUCAUUCAGGGAGGGGAGCUAGGAAAAGAAUGGGCCUGAGGGAAGAAUGAGCCUGAGGGACUUGGGGCCAUUCUGCCUCUGCCCGGCACUUUUCUCUCUGGGGUUCUUGGGCUCCCUGGGAACCCAGCAGGGCUGCUCCCUCACCUUAAGAUGGGGUGUGAAAGUCUUCCCAGGGCAGGGGUGAAGACUGCAGCUAACGCAGGAUACUGGGCAUCUGCAAUGGCUGUGGGGGGUUGCAGCUCUCCAGCCACACCUGCCCUGCUGGGAUGGUCUCUGCCCUGCUGGAUUGUUACGGAGAUGAAGUAAGAUAAGGGGAAUGAAAAGACCCUGGAAACGCUGGGAAGGGCAGGAAAAGCCAGUCCACCAGCCCUGUAGGACUGAGCUGUCUUCUUCUCAGGGCUUGACAGAUUCUGAGGAUUCAAUGCUUGUCAUGACCCUCCAGGGUUUUUGUGAGGAGGUGACUGAGGUUCAGAGGCAGGCUGCAUACCCAGCAGCACACAGCUUCAGCCCGCAGAGAAUAAAUCCAAACCCACGCUCAAGGGCUCCAAAAUCCUGCUCUUAACCACCAGGACAUGUGCUUGGGGACAUGUCCACAGGGACACCUUUUAAGGCAAAGGUCACCAUGUGCUCCUGGCUGAGCAAAUUGCACUUUGUUUUGAAAUAAGCAGGAAAUCACUGGAGCUUUGUCUGCAGGGAAGGAGCAGUAACUUGCUCAGGUGCCUGCUUCAACAAAAUCGCUCUUGAGACCUCAUGAGGGCUGAGUUGUACUAAGGAGACCCAGGAGACAGGGAGGCCACUAGGAGGCUGGUGUUGAAGAAUGACCAUAGACGUUUUUAGCUGAAGAGUCACUGUGGAAGCCAAUGACAGCUGGCACACCGCCCUCCCAUCAUAGCAAACUGUGGAGGUUAGGCUGAGUUCUCCACUGGGGGAGACCCGCUGAGAUCCAGGUGGGGAAGCCAGGACAGCUUCCUUUUUUCUUGUCUCUCUUUUCUUUUCUUCUGUCUUGUCCGUAGCUGGACUUCAGUAAAACCCCUUGCUGGCCCCCUGGGAGGUGAAGAAUGACCUGACAUUUAGUCUGGAUGCAGUUGCUGAGCACAUGUCCUUUUGCUCCGCUGGGGUCUACUGCCUGUAGGGUGUGGAUGCUGGUCCCCUCUCUCUCUUCUUGCAGGGAAGGGGCUCAGCCUUUUCUGGGAGUGCCUGAGCUUAGGUGCUGCCUGUGGCCAGGCAGGUGGGUCUGUCCAACGCAGGGGUUGUUUCAAACUCAGGAGAGAGGAAAAAAGACUAUUAAUUAUUUCUCCCCACUCAAAAGUGGGGUUGGGCUCAGGAAGAGCAGCCACGCUGCAACUUCUGCAGGUGGAGUGGGACUGAGAGUCAGCUGAGCGCGCCGUGGAGCACAGACUGCACCCCUGGUGGCUGGGCUGCCUCAAGAACUCCAGCUCCAGAAUGUUCUGGAAGGGACUCUAGAACCUGCGUUUUUAACAACCACUCAUGUGAUUCUGAGCUGCAUUUGAGAAAGUCAUGGGAGAUGGGCCCAGGCAUUGGCAUCCAGGAACAGAAGCAAAAUGCUGAGAAGAGGCUGUUUCCAGUGCCUCUUUAGCAGACCAGAAGGGGGUAGAUGAACACCCAAGGCUCACAGCAUCGAACGACCACUUAAAACAUCCUACCAUGGGUCUUAGAACAGUUUUGGAAACUCUAAUUUCACUGUGCCACUGGUCUCCAGGACCUGCUGGCCAGCGACUGGUAACCAUGCAUGUUUAUUAGCUGCCCCAGGCACUGGUCGGUGAAGCUGUGUCAUACUAUAGCUCUGCAGACAUACCCAGACAAGUUCCUAUUCCUCUUUUCCAAUCUCCCAUCCUACUGAAUUACUUUUUCCUCUGCGUGUGGGCCCACAUUAUUUUAAAAUAAGUGUAAAUAUUCUUUAUUCUUUUGCCCUGUGAUUACUGAGAAAUACCUAAGGUGUAGCUAUAAAAUGGUGGAACACAUUUUGAAAUGGGUAUAUCACCGUAUAUAGGUGUGUAUAUAUAUGUAUACACACACAUACACACACAUAUAUGAACAACAUUCUCCUUCAGUGAGGUGAUCUAAAAAGGCUAAAAAGUUCUUCAAAAAAUGCUACCUUGGAAAAAGCUAUUUUUGAAAGUCCUCUUUGGGCACUGACACUGACGUGAAACCCUACGUACUCUGUCUCACUGGAAUUUCACCUUGUUUGGAUCCAAUAUUGUGCCACAGAACGUUAGCCACCUCCCCUUAUUUAUUAGAUCUUAACCCAAAUGAUGUCUGAGUAUUCAUCGGAAGGGACAAAGGAUUUUCCCCACAUGGAGGGUUUGCAAGAGCUCAGCUCUGCAGCAGAGCCAGGAUGAGUCUCCCAGCACCGGCACCCCUGGCCCAGAGCACAGCUUUGCAAAGUGACUACCCUGAAGCUGCAGUCACUGUCCUCCCACCAUGCGGGGCGGGGGCCCCUCACAGGACUUCUGGGGUGUGCUGUGGAGGCUGGAAAAGCCCUUCUCUACUUACACGUGCCCUCACGACUGCAUUUAGAAUUCCCAAGCCCAGCACAGUUAUAGACAGGAGGUGUCAGUCCGUUGAGCUGAAUUGCCAGGCUGGCAACAACACAACAUCUAAUGAUUUAUUUGUAUUUCCAACUCACAGUGCAACUGCCCCACGGCCCAUCUCCUCUUCCUGGGAUUGAGCUGCAUGUGAUGUGGACUGGAUGGGAUAGGGCAGACAGAGUAUUUGUUGCAUUUAUUUGUUCUAUGACUACAGAAGAAACAUUUCAAAAUGUGUACAAAAGGACACUCUUUUCCAUACAUCCAGUGGUACUCUUUUCCAUCCAGUGUUCACAGCUGAACAUCAGUAAUUUAACAUCAUCAUCGAGGCAGACCGGAAAGACAAUUGCGAUUUCUCAUUUACAAUCUUGUGCAUUCACUUGCCAGACGGGCAGUUGAACACCUAACGCUGCACUGGGUACAAACAAAUCCAACUUUAACAGUCACCACACACAACAUUAUAAAAAAGUAUAUUAGAAAGUAUUGGAAACAAUAUUGCAUAUUAAAAUCUGGUUACAUGUGUUCACAGUGAGUGCCAUUGCACCAAACGUAUAUGUGCUUCUUUUUUUCCUGAUGCCUGAACAUCUUAAAUAAGUCUAAUUUUGGUUCCUUUUAAAAUAAAAAAAAAAAUGAAAUAAAAGAGAGAGAUCUGGAUUUUAAAUAGAGUUGACCAUUCAUUAUUGCUGGAACUGAAGAAGAGAGAAACACACUUGCGUCGUGACUUUAUAUUAAAUCCAGUUCUUCCGGCUUUUGUUUUGGCAAGAAGAGGAUGCUACGAGAGUCACAAUGCCAUCAAAACAGAACAGAACAAGAAAAAAAAGCACAACACUGUGGGGAGCGGGGGACCUGUAAAAUAAACCCACGUCUCAGGUAGCUCUCUUUCUCAAGGAAGAUUCUAAGAUUUUAUUAUGUGGUUGAUUUUAAAUUUGAAAUGGAACAUGCUGGUAACUGAAGCAAUUGGUGCAGGGACAUGCCCUUUGGUGGUAAUGCAAUGAUUUUUAGUGACUCUGGAAUUAGGACCAUCACACCAUCUAGGUACAGAUGACAGAAGAAAUGUGGGGCAAGGAGCAGAGGUGAGGCUUUCCACCUCCUGGGAAUCUGGGGUGACAGGGAGGGAGAGGAAUGAAAUAGUGAUUUCUAGCUAUAAUCAACAGGUCACCCUGCUACUGAUGAGCUUCCUGUCUCUGGUAUUUAUUUUAAACACAAUGAGGAUGCGUGGAAUCUAGGCACAUGGCAGUACACAGCGGUUCCCAGGACACACACUCACUCUUCACACAACAGAACAAACCACAGAACAGAAAGUGUGAAGUCAUGCAAAAUCCUAUUUUUACCAGGUAGGAGAAAACGUCAGCAACUUUUGGUACAUAAUAUGGCCACCUUUCAAACAUAACUUAAUUACUUGUUGACAUAAUAUGAAACCUUACUUUAAAUACAAUAGUCUCAAAGAAAAAUGGUGUUACAAUAUAAAACCACAACCAAAGGUAUGUAAAUAGACAUUUAUAUUGGCUAUAAAAGGGGGCGAAAGGAAAGGGCAAAGCGUUUUAGAAAAGAAUUCCUGGAGCCCCUAUUUACAGUUCUGGUUUAGACUUUCUUCGAAUGACACUUAAAUGAGUAACUCCCUUCAACCAACUGAUUCUAUGGGAUGGAGGGAAAAGAACAGGGUAGGUGAAAUUUGCUAGCAAACUGGAGACCUACGGAGAUGCUCCCGUUGAAGAUAUUAAUUCGGAUAAAGCGAUCUUUCUCUAUAAUUGCAUAUUGAAUGAAAGCUAUCCAUGGCCUGUGCCCCCCACUAACUCUCUCCUCACUUCACUCUGCACAUUGAUGUGGCAGAGUUUAAAUUUCUACAACUUUGUUUAUUCCAGUUUCAAAAUGCCACAGAAUUCUGCAAAGACAUCUAUGACUCAAGAAUGGUAUUUUUAUAAAUUCCAUCCCUUCUACAAAAUUCAAAUGUCCACAAGAAAAAUAUUUUUGAAGGCUGAAGAAAUAAUUCAUUUAUAGAAUUUAUGAUGAUUCCAGAGGAGAACAGGUCAGGAUUGAUAUUGCUGACUGGGAAAAUUCAAGUGCUUUUAUUUUUGGAAGGCUUCCAGGCCCUUUGAUUGGUUUAUAAUUCAUUCAGAUCAGUGGUUCUCAACCAGGAGUGAUCUCCCUCCCCCAGGGGACAUGUGGCCACACCACCUGGGGCUGCUACUGUUGUAUGUUGGGAAGCAGCCAGGGAUGUUGCUAGGAAUCCCUGUGUACAGGGUGUACAGAAGAGACUGCCCAUGACAAAUGACCCCGCUCAGCAUAUCAACAGUGUUGAGACUCAGAACCCCUGGUUUAGAUCACAGGACGAAAUAGAUGCUUAUUUACAAUUUGCCUUCUGUUUCUUCAUGUUUACCUUGGGACAGUUUUCACAAAGACAAGUAUCAUAAAUAUUGGAAAUUGUAUAUUCUUCUUUGGUUGAGAGUAAAGACAUUAAUGAUAGGAUUAAGCUGGAGGAACACUCUUCCUGCGUGGGGCUAGAAUCCCUGCUUGGGCCUCAGUACAUUCAUGUCUUAGCAUGGAGAGGCAGAGUUCUCACCUCCAGCACCUCCCUGCUCUGUCCCAGGAGACCUGCUGGCACUACCCUCUAUUAUCUGGAUUGGUCAGUUUCUCUGCAAAUUCCAAUAACCUUCAGCAAUAAAGGCCACAGAACCACUCAUCCUGUUGUGUGUGGACACACACAUGGCUUUGCAUGGUAAAGAGUGUCAGCAUAUUUGAAAGUUUAGUUUCAAACAGGUGAGUUCUGUGUGUUAGGGGUGGAGAUAUGGGCUUCACAUAUAUCAUUCAUCUAAAAAUUAACCAUCAUUCUAAGUCAUUUUAUGGGUUUUAAAACAAGAAUAAUACACAUUCAGUGUAGGGAAAGAAAUUCACUAAUGCUAAGAAAUCCAAGCCUGUAGUUACAAACAUACAUAAUUAAAAUGAGGGCUAGGAUUUAGGGCUUAGGGAGAACCAGGCAGGGAAGGAAGAGAGAACCAGCUGCCGUUCACGAGAAACGAGUGUACAGUUUGGAAUGAAGCUUUGGUUUCUGAGGAAUUUUACUGUCUGAGUGGUUCAAAAUGAAUUAAGGUCCGAAUUUCAGGACUGGUGUUUAAAAUGUAGUAGACUUUUUUGGCUAUCAAAAGCAUAGGAAUGAAAAAGCAGGUAACAGGGCUCCCCAGAGACACCCCCAGGAAGACUGGAUUCAUCCUCCACUGGCCACAAGCCUAGAAGGCCCAGCAUUCUCCUCAAAGCGGGAUUCAGGCCCUGACACCCCACUCUUUGCCCAACAGACACUAUUUCCCCAAUUUAUUUUCCUGUGCAGAAUAUGACUUGAAAUAGUAUUUUUUUUUUUUUUUCAAAAGUGCAGGCUUUCUGCUCUAGAAGCGUGUGGCCCACACAGCUGGCUGGUCUUGCUGCGUCCAGACCACUCAGGCAGCCACACACCUGUCCUGUUCACUCACCUGCAGGGACACACUUCGGGACACACUUCAGGACACACUGGCUGCUUCUGGGGCUUUGGGGAAGGCACCUGGUGUGCAAACUCCUUCCCAAGCUUUUGGCCUGUUUUAUAUAAUUCUCCGAACACUUCUUAGACUAAUU